rnacentral:rRNA from 1 species
CUCUCGGCAAUGGAUAUCUCGGCUCUUGCAUCGAUGAAGAACGUAGUGAAAUGCGAUACUUGGUGUGAAUUGCAGAAUCUCGCGAACCAUUGAGUCUUUGAACGCAAGUUGUGCCCGAGGCCUUGUGGUCGAGGGCACGCCUGCUUGGGCGUCAUGAC